rnacentral:rRNA from 1 species
GAUGAACGCUGGCGGCGUGCCUAAUACAUGCAAGUCGAGCGAACAGACGAGGAGCUUGCUCCUCUGACGUUAGCGGCGGACGGGUGAGUAACACGUGGAUAACCUACCUAUAAGACUGGGAUAACUUCGGGAAACCGGAGCUAAUACCGGAUAAUAUAUUGAACCGCAUGGUUCAAUAGUGAAAGACGGUUUUGCUGUCACUUAUCGAUGGAUCCGCGCCGCAUUAGCUAGUUGGUAAGGUAACGGCUUACCAAGGCAACGAUGCGUAGCCGACCUGAGAGGGUGAUCGGCCACACUGGAACUGAGACACGGUCCAGAAUCCUACGGGAGGCAGCAGUAGGGAAUCUUCCGCAAUGGGCGAAAGCCUGACGGAGCAACGCCGCGUGAGUGAUGAAGGUCUUCGGAUCGUAAAACUCUGUUAUUAGGGAAGAACAAAUGUGUAAGUAACUAUGCACGUCUUGACGGUACCUAAUCAGAAAGCCACGGCUAACUACGUG